UACGUAGGUGGCGAGCGUUGUCCGGAUUUACUGGGCGUAAAGAGCGCGCAGGCGGUCGUACAAGUCGCGUGUGAAAGCCCCCGGCUCAACUGGGGAGGGUCACGCGAUACUGUUCGACUCGAAGGCAGGAGAGGGAAGUGGAAUUCCCGGUGUAGUGGUGAAAUGCGUAGAUAUCGGGAGGAACACCAGUGGCGAAGGCGGUUACCUGGAGCUUUGCUGACGCUGAUGCGCGAAAGCGUGGGGAGCGAACAGG
rnacentral:rRNA from 1 species